rnacentral:rRNA from 1 species
AGUGAACGCUGGCGGCAGGCCUAACACAUGCAAGUCGAGCGGCAGCGGGUCCCCGCGAGGGGAUGCCGGCGAGCGGCGGACGGGUGAGGAACACAUCGGAAUCUGCCUGGUUGUGGGGGAUAACGUAGGGAAACUUACGCUAAUACCGCAUGAGACCCUGAGUCGACGGACUGGGGGUGAAAGUGAGGGACCUUCGGGCCGUCACGCGACCAGAUGAGCCGAUGUCGGAUUAGCUAGUUGGCGGGGUAACGGCCCGCCAAGGCGACGAUCCGUAGCUGGUCUGAGAGGAUGAUCAGCCACACUGGGACUGAGACACGGCCCAGACUCCUACGGGAGGCAGCAGUGGGGAAUCUUGGACAAUGGGCGCAAGCCUGAUCCAGCGAUGCCGCGUGUGUGAAGAA